UAGUCAUAUGCUUGUUUUAAUUAUUAAGCCAUGCAUGUCUAAGUAUAAGCAUAAUUCUAGAGAGAAAGAACGGCUCAAAAAACAAUUAUUGUUUAUUUGAUGGUUCCUUGCGACUUGUAUAACAGUAGUAGUGGUAGAGCUAAUACAUAGCACGCAGGGGCGACUCAGGAAGCCUUGUGUUUAUUAGAUUAAAGCCACCCCCCCCGGGUGUUCGGGGUGAACAUAGUAAAUAAUCAAGGAUCCACCGCCUCUGCGGCGGCGAUGUCUCAUUCAAUUUUCUGCCCUAUCAGCUUUAGAUGGUAGGAUAUGGGCCUACCAUGGCGGUGACGGGUAACGGAGAAUUAGGGUUCGAUUCCGGAGAGGGAGCCUGAGAAACGGCUACCACUUCUAAGGAAGGCAGCAGGCGC
rnacentral:rRNA from 1 species